AGCUAGUAGGUGCAACCGAAGGUGACGUGCGGCCCCUUCGAAGCUAAUGGCUCAACCCAAAGCUGGCAGCGGCGCAGCGCAUUCGAAGCUGACAGGCCCAAACCAAGGUGUAUCAGAAGCUGACAACCACCCUGCAUGAGGAUUCUCACCGGUUUCCCACCUCCGGGCAAACAAUAAAUGAUCGAAAGAUCAUGAGUGGCGGAGCUUCGGGGUCCUCGUGAUGACCGCGAACCUCCGCGAGAAGCUCGGCAGCAAGGCUCGGCCUCGUCUGUGGCGAGUACGCACUCGCGGCACGAGGCAAAACAACAUCAUCGACCACCUGCGCGGACCUCCGCAGCAGGCCAAACUCUCGUGACCGUCGGCAACCUUCGCAUCUCGCACAUGAUCCAAUCCAGAUAAUUCCUUUUUUUUUUCUUUGGACAAGGCCAUGGUGAAGCUCCGAAGCUGCCAGAGUUGAUGACGCAGACAUCUCGAUCACAACUAUUACCUUCGACCGGCAUCAAAGCCUCGUGGAGACGCCGACCUCCGCGGACAGCUGCGAACGCAGACCUGCGUGGAGCGAGAACCCCUCCGGCAAGCUUCGUCCCUAUGAUGAGCAUCGACCCCAGCGCAACCUCUGCGACAAACACAUCCACGGUACUGUAAUGCUCCUAGAGCGGCCAAUAAUGAUAUGCCACCACUGUUCAACGUGACAUCAUGCAUGCAACUAGCGAAGGUCAUGUUUCCUUCCUCCAUAUGCAUUACCUUCGAUUGUUCACGCGCCUCAGGUUUUCAAAAUGGAUCGGAACAAGCUCCUUUCACCUUGUUAACUAACUUGAUUUUCUCAAGAACGAAGCUGCUAGGCAAUAAUGCAGGCACCUGUGAAUUCACUGUCUGCCACCUCCGCACACCAAGUUGUGGAACCCCCGCUCAAGCUCCGCAGAUAGCAGAACACUCGCGGCAAGCCCGGAACCUCCCGGCGAGCUGAAGCUUCGUGGUCAUCGGCGGCGAACUGAACCUUCGCGGCCGUCCGCAACUAUCUGCGGCAAGCCCGGAACCUCCCCGGCGAGCCGAAGCUUCGUGAUCAUCGGCGGCGAGCUGAAGCUUCGCGGCCGUCCGCAACUAUCCGCGGCAAGCCCGGAGCCUCUUCGGCCAGCCGAAGCUUCGUGGACUUCCACGGCGAACAUGUACCUCCUCGACAAGCUAAAGCUCCGCGGCGAGCUGGACCUUCGCGGCAAGCUCGGAACUUCCGCAUGAACCUCCGCUCGGAACCGUCACAGGCUCUGACAAUUUUGUUCAUUUUUCACAUCGAAGCUCAUGCUCUUAUUCUUAGAGAUAAAACAAAAUCAUCGCCCACCUUCGAUGUUUCUUACAAAAAUGCAAAGCAGUACUAAUCAUCUCAUUUGAAUUGCUCCUGCACAGCACUUAGCAAAGCUGAAAAUCAAGCAGGCGGUCACAACACCACACGAAGCUGCUGUCCACUGCACGAAAACCGUGGUGAGGGCCAACCUCGCGACAGCUGCCGACGCCCACUUAACCUCCGCGGCGAGCUCGGAAGUUCAUAUUCAAGCUGAACCUCCGCGGCAAGCAUCGAUCCUUGCAGCAAGUUCAACCCUUCCAGGAAGAAGCUUCGCGGCUGUUAGCGCCAGCCGAACCUUCACACGAUCAUUUGCGGCCUACACGUACGACUCAGCUGCAGCCUAUGACGAAAGUUCUGGAAGCAAGAAUGCAGAGGCACCCUGGCCUUAUCUUUGCACGUGCUGCAUGCAGCAGCCUGCAGCACAACUCCAUCGUGAGCUGUCCAAGGCAUCGUGCGCGGCCGCCGGCGAACCUUCGCGGGAAGCACACGCCAACCAACGCGGCCACCGGCGAACACGAACCUCCAUGGCGAACACGAACCUCCUUGGCAAGCCAAAGCUCCAUGGCGAGCGGGACCUUCGCGGCCGCCGGCAACCUCCGCGGGAAGCACACGCCAACCUUCGCGGCCACCGGCGAACCUCCACGGCGAACACGAACCUCCUCGGCAAGCCGAAGCUCCACGGGGAGCUGGACCUUCGUGGCCACCGGCGAACCUCCGCGGGAAGCACACGCCAAGCUUCGCGGCCACCGGCGAAUUACCUCCACGGUGAACACGAACCUCCUCGGCAAGCCGAAGUUCUGCGGCGAGCUAGACCUUCGCGGCCGCCGGCGAACCUCCGCGGGAAGCACACGCCAACCUCUGGCCGACCAGUCCGGACCUCCGCGGCGAACACGAACCUUCUCGGUUGCAAAAUUGUUCUCCGGCAAGACCUGCGUCGAGAGAGAACCACUCCCGGCAAGCUUGUUCUCCGGGCGCCGGAACCUUCGCAUGCAAAAUUGUGCUCGUCAUUAAUGCACGCCAAGCUGCGUAACCUUCGCUCGGGAACUCCGCACCAAGUUGCGUUCGUCACCUCCACCUGCUUUAAAAGCAACAACAAAGCAGAAAAAGGUUGAGUUCAAGCAAUUGUGAACUCGUUAAUUGGACAGUAAUAUUUAACCCUGCAACCUUCGAUGGUGCCCUUUUACUAACGCCUUUGAGUUACCGGAUGUAUCCUUUAAUUAAGCUUUCUUUCUUUUACUAA